UACGUAGGUGGCAAGCGUUGUUCGGAAUUAUUGGGCGUAAAGAGCUCGUAGGCGGUCUGUCGCGUCGGCUGUGAAAUCCCGAGGCUCAACCUCGGGUCUGCAGUCGAUACGGGCAAACUGGAGUGUUGCAGGGGAGACUGGAAUUCCUGGUGUAGCGGUGAAAUGCGCAGAUAUCAGGAGGAACACCGGUGGCGAAGGCGGGUCUCUGGGACGGUACUGACGCUGAGACGCGAAAGCGUGGGGAGCGAACAGG
rnacentral:rRNA from 1 species